UACGUAGGGUGCAAGCGUUGUCCGGAAUUAUUGGGCGUAAAGAGCUCGUAGGCGGUCUGUCGCGUCGGCUGUGAAAACCCGGGGCUCAACCCCGGGCCUGCAGUCGAUACGGGCAGACUAGAGUGCGGUAGGGGAGACUGGAAUUCCUGGUGUAGCGGUGAAAUGCGCAGAUAUCGGGAGGAACACCUGUGGCGAAAGCGGCUCACUGGACCGCAACUGACGCUGAGGCGCGAAAGCUAGGGGAGCAAACAGG
rnacentral:rRNA from 1 species